AGUGAACGCUGGCGGUAGGCCUAACACAUGCAAGUCGAACGGCAGCACAGUAAGAGCUUGCUCUUACGGGUGGCGAGUGGCGGACGGGUGAGGAAUACAUCGGAAUCUACUUUUUCGUGGGGGAUAACGUAGGGAAACUUGCGCUAAUACCGCAUACGACCUACGGGUGAAAGCAGGGGAUCUUCGGACCUUGCGCGAUUGAAUGAGCCGAUGUCGGAUUGGCUAGUUGGCGGGGUAAAGGCCCACCAAGGCGACGAUCCGUAGCUGGUCUGAGAGGAUGAUCAGCCACACUGGAACUGAGACACGGUCCAGACUCCUACGGGAGGCAGCAGUGGGGAAUAUUGGACAAUGGGCGCAAGCCUGAUCCAGCCAUACCGCGUGGGUGAAGAAGGCCUUCGGGUUGUAAAGCCCUUUUGUUGGGAAAGAAAAGCAGCAGGUUAAUACCCCGCUGUUCUGACGGUACCCAAAGAAUAAGCACCGGCUAACUUCGUG
rnacentral:rRNA from 1 species